GACGAACGCUGGCGGCGGGCUUAACACAUGCAAGUCGAACGGAAAGGCCCUGCUUUUGUGGGGUGCUCGAGGGGCGGACGGGUGAGGGACAGGUGAGUAACCUGCCCUUGACUUUGGGGUGGCUUCAGGAAACUGGGGCUAAUACCGGAUAGGAGAUGCUGCAGGAUGGUGGGGGUUGGAAAGUUUCGGCGGGUGGGGUUGGAUGGGCGGCUUAUCGGCUUGCUGGUCGGGGAGUGGAUGACCAAGUCUGUGACGGGUAGCCGGCCUGAGAGGGUGACCGGCCACAUGAGGCCUGCGAGACGGCCCAGACUCCUACGUGAGGCAGUAGUGGGGAAUAUUGCACAAUGGUCCGAAGCCUGUUGCAGCAACGCUGCGGGCGUGAUGACGGCUUUCUGGGUGUAAACAGCUUCCGCCUGUGACGACGCUUUACUGACGGUAACGAGUAAAGAAGCACCGGCUAACUACGUG
rnacentral:rRNA from 1 species